rnacentral:rRNA from 1 species
UAGAGUUUGAUCAUGGCUCAGGACGAACGCUGGCGGCGUGCCUAAUACAUGCAAGUUGAGCGAUGAAGAUUGGUGCUUGCACCAAUUUGAAGAGCAGCGAACGGGUGAGUAACGCGUGGGGAAUCUGCCUUUGAGCGGGGACAACAUUUGGAAACGAAUGCUAAUACCGCAUAAUAACUUUAAACAUAAGUUUUAAGUUUGAAAGAUGCAAUUGCAUCACUCAAAGAUGAUCCCGCGUUGUAUUAGCUAGUUGGUGAGGUAAAGGCUCACCAAGGCGAUGAUACAUAGCCGACCUGAGAGGGUGAUCGGCCACAUUGGGACUGAGACACGGCCCAAACUCCUACGGGAGGCAGCAGUAGGGAAUCUUCGGCAAUGGACGAAAGUCUGACCGAGCAACGCCGCGUGAGUGAAGAAGGUUUUCGGAUCGUAAAACUCUGUUGGUAGAGAAGAACGUUGGUGAGAGUGGAAAGCUCAUCAAGUGACGGUAACUACCCAGAAAGGGACGGCUAACUACGUGCCAGCAGCCGCGGUAAUACGUAGGUCCCGAGCGUUGUCCGGAUUUAUUGGGCGUAAAGCGAGCGCAGGUGGUUUAUUAAGUCUGGUGUAAAGGCAGUGGCUCAACCAUUGUAUGCAUUGGAAACUGGUAGACUUGAGUGCAGGAGAGGAGAGUGGAAUUCCAUGUGUAGCGGUGAAAUGCGUAGAUAUAUGGAGGAACACCGGUGGCGAAAGCGGCUCUCUGGCCUGUAACUGACACUGAGGCUCGAAAGCGUGGGGAGCAAACAGGAUUAGAUACCCUGGUAGUCCACGCCGUAAACGAUGAGUGCUAGAUGUAGGGAGCUAUAAGUUCUCUGUAUCGCAGCUAACGCAAUAAGCACUCCGCCUGGGGAGUACGACC